CGGAACUUCAAAUGUUGAUUGCUGGUUGCACACAGAAUUUUUUCCUGGAUCUCCAGCAGUGUAAAGAGGAAGUACAACUAGUCGAGACCCAGAACUUGGGCCAAGAGUGACUUUCAAGUGGGGUUGAAGAUCCCAGGAAAUGCAUCUGUUGAGCAGAAAGGUAGAGGAAAUAUAUUUUUCAUGAACUAAAAAGCAAAGCAAAAAUAUUUUGGUGAACCAGCUGAAUAUCUUCUGUGUCACAGCUCAAGAUAAAA
rnacentral:lncRNA from 1 species